AUCUACAGUGGUACCACCCUCAACAUGCUCGAUCUUUUCUGAUCUUGGAAGCUAUGCAAGGUUGAGCCUGGUUAGUACUUGGAUGGAAGACCACCUAGGAAUACCAAGUGCUGUAGGCA
rnacentral:rRNA from 1 species